CGAACGGGGAGAUUCAUCGUCAGCGGACGCCGGCUUCGCGUCGGUCGGCGAUGUCCCGCGGGGGCCCUCGCGGCUCUCAGCGCGGGCACGCUGCCGUGCGCCGAUGUAUCCGGCUUCGCCGUCGUGCACUUCUCCCCUGGUAGAACGUCGCGACCCGCUGGGUGUCGGUCUACGGCCCGGGUGCGGUGCCUGACGCGCCGCCGGUAAAACGGCGCGCGUCAAACCCCCGGUCGCCCGGCCGGCUGCCCGGCGGUACGCGCAAGGUAUCAGGCCGCACACACAUUUGAACGGUGCGUCGAGGCCGUCGCAAGCGCGCGCCACGGUACACGGAGGUACGGACCUAGCGCCGUCACCGGUCCUGGCCCGCUGUUGGUCGUACGGUUAACCUUCGACAGGCCUACGAACGUCCCAGCGUGUGGGGGUGUCGGGGGCUCGUCUCCCGCGCGCUCUCGCGUUGGC
rnacentral:rRNA from 1 species